rnacentral:rRNA from 1 species
CCUACGGGAGGCAGCAGUGAGGAAUAUUGGUCAAUGGACGAGAGUCUGAACCAGCCAAGUAGCGUGAAGGAUGACUGCCCUAUGAGUUGUAAACUUCUUUUAUAUGGGAAUAAAAUGUUCCACGUGUGGGAGUUUGUAUGUAUCAUAUGAAUAAGGAUCGGCUAACUCCGUGCCAGCAGCCGCGGUAAUACGGAGGAUUCAAGCGUUAUCCGGAUUUAUUGGGUUUAAAGGGUGCGUAGGCGGUUUGUUAAGUCAGUUGUGAAAGUUUGGGGCUCAACCGUAGCAUUGCCGUUGAAACUGGCAGUCUUGAGUACAGUAGCGGUAGGCGGAAUGCGUGGUGUAGCGGUGAAAUGCUUAGAUAUCACGAAGAACUCCGAUUGCGAAGGCAGCUCACUGAACUGCAACUGACGCUGAGGCACGAAAGUGUGGGUAUCAAACAGGAUUAGAUACCCUGGUAGUC